AUUGAACGCUGGCGGCAGGCCUAACACAUGCAAGUCGAGCGGAUGAAGGGAGCUUGCUCCUGGAUUCAGCGGCGGACGGGUGAGUAAUGCCUAGGAAUCUGCCUGGUUGUGGGGGAUAACGUCCGGAAACGGGCGCUAAUACCGCAUACGUCCUGAGGGAGCAAGUGGGGGAUCUUCGGACCUCACGCUAUCAGAUGAGCCUAGGUCGGAUUAGCUAGUUGGUGGGGUAAAGGCGUACCAAGGCGACGAUCCGUAACUGGUCUGAGAGGAUGAUCAGUCACACUGAGAGUGAGACAGGGUACAGAGGGCCAGGGGUGGGAGCAGGGGGGAAUAUUGGAGAAGGGGUGAGAGCUAGUGCCAGACAUGCGGAAGGUUGGAGGAGGGUCGUCGGAUGGGAGAGGACGGUAUGUGGGGAGGAAGGGGAUUAAGUUAAUAACGUGGUGUUUGUAAGUGUAAAGCAGAAUGAAGACCGGGUAAAUUAGUG
rnacentral:rRNA from 1 species